rnacentral:rRNA from 1 species
UACGUAGGGUGCGAGCGUUGUCCGGAAUCACUGGGCGUAAAGGGUGCGUAGGCGGAUCUUUAAGUCAGGGGUGAAAUCCUGGAGCUCAACUCCAGAACUGCCUUUGAUACUGAGGAUCUCGAGUUCGGGGGAGGUGAGUGGAACUGCGAGUGUAGAGGUGAAAUUCGUAGAUAUUCGCAAGAACACCAGUGGCGAAGGCGGCUCACUGGCCCGAUACUGACGCUGAGGCACGAAAGCGUGGGGAGCAAACAGG